CCGGGCCCGGGCCCGUCCCGUUUCCCUCGGCCGGGGACGUUCCGGUAAGGAACAGCGGAAAGAGGGUAUAGCGAUGGCAACGAGACGGUAACCGAUAAAACGCCGAGAGGUGACCGUGUUCGCCGCCUGGAAAAGCACCACCAACACAAAACACGUGCUGGCCCGCGACGCAGAGGGCGGCCCGCCCGUUUCGGAACAGAUCUCGGCUAGGAGGGAAAGAAUGAUACGUUUUAAGAAGUUUUUGACAGGAGCCUACGUAGAGCUGUUUGUAUGAGUCUCUGAGGGUGCAAGUUCAACCAAUGCUGCAACCAGACAGACUGGAUCCUGUGAACUAAGAAGAAACGUCUUCAAAAGGUGUAGUAGACACUUUAUAUGCAAGCCUGGUCUUACUCCUAUUUCUACUUCCCUUGGAAAAGAAAACAUGUUUCAUCCCUUCCCAUCUCAGUUUUCCCACAGAAAUGAGAAAAGCACAAAGUAAAAUUCUGACCAAUCUUUACAAAGCAUAAGACUUAAAAUUCUCCCUGCAGCCUGGUAAAUGAACUGUCAACAUCUCUCCUGAGGAAGAAUCUUUUUGAGAACCACCCUUUUACCAGGCAAGGGACACUGCAACCAUUAUAAAG
rnacentral:lncRNA from 1 species